rnacentral:lncRNA from 1 species
CGAACAUGGAGGACCAGGUUUUGGAUUGUUCUAGGGGUUAAACUUUAUCCACAGGAUUUCCAUCACAAAAGCCUCCUCAGCAGCAAGCAGACGUGACCUUGGGGCCUGCCAGGGACAAACUGGGGAAGUGAAUUCACUGAGGCGUCACCCAUUCACAUGUAGGCCUUAUAGGUCGCUGUCUAUCACACCGAGUACCCGACCCUCGCCCCACCUCCUCCUCCUCUUACACUGGCCAGAGUCCCUUUAUUAUGCUGAUCUAAUGACUGUGGAGGGUAAUCCAAAAGACCUUCAUUAGAAUGAGGGUGGCGUGUUACGCAGCCAGCCAGAUCUGAACUGACACCCAGCGCCAUACCUGCCAACUUGGGUGAGCUUCAAAGGCAGCAGUAGUAGCAAAAUGUUGGGUUUUUUUAAUAUCUUUUUAUAAUUCUAUCUAUUGAUUUAUCUUGAUCUCGCAGUGGGAAAUUCCUUCAUAACUGAAACACAAAUACAAAGAGCAAUCGAUACACUACCCACACAGACAUAUAAGCAGCAGUACCACGCAGAGAUAACAUGUUGCUGGUCUGAUAUGUACAGAUAGAGGAGUUAGAGGAGAUAGAUGCUGAAAACAGUGUUGAUGUUUGAUUAUAAAUGAGAUAGCACUUAUCUUUUUCUUUUCAGUCAUUCAGAAACAUUUUAUUUGUGGAGGCUCUUUGAGGCUCUAUAUCUCACUUUAACUCUGGGGUAAUCCAACCACGUCUGAUGGUGAAGGUGUUCUGAAUGGCCGUGCUCAGAGGCAGCAAACUUUAGUUGUACAGGUGAAAAUGGACAGUGACCUUUCAUCAAGAAGGAAAAAGAGAGCUUGAGAGGGAAGUACAAAAUCUUACCCACUUUCUGAAAGGUGUUGUUGAGGUGUACAACCCAGUGCAAUACCAUGAAUGCCUCAAGGAGAGAAAGGUGUAAACACCACAGCCACUCUGCUACUGCUGAGUUGCCAUUUUUCUGCAGACAUUUAUGAUCCCCCAGAGCAUCUAUUCAACGUUUCUCCAGAUGAAACCAAGCUCACUUUUCGUAUGAUGAAAGCUCCAACAGAUGCCGGAACCCGUGCUCACGCAGGUCACUCAUCCUCUGGGGCCUCAAUGGGAAACAUUCAAUCUGAAGGACUAUGUCUUCAUAAUGUCCAAUCAGUGAAAAGUGGGAAUAAAAGCUACAAUAGAGCUUUAUGUGC